rnacentral:lncRNA from 1 species
GAAUAUUUUGGAAAUUUAAUUUAUGAAAUAUAAUUGAUUCCUUUAGCAAUAUUUGAUAUUAAUGAGUCAUUUUUGAAUAGAUACGAGUGGUUUAGAGGUGAAUUCCAAAGGAAAAGCUGUGAUUGAGAAUUAAGUGGCCUUCGGAGCGAGGUAAGUGUUGUGUCUAACUUUGGCUUGAGGGAAUAGGUAUUGUGUGAGUAUUUUCUACGUGUUUUGUUGUUGAAUACGACGUAUAGUUGAGAUGACGAGCAUCUAUACGUUGUGGUCGAGUCAUAGUAUGCGAGUGAAGUUCCAUUUCUUGUAAAUUGUAGUCUUAAAUCUUGUUAUCCAUGCUUAUUGUUGUUGUUGAAAUGUUGGGAGACUUGUAUCUGGUUCCACCAAGGUCAAUAAUAUUGUGAAUAUUGAUUCGAGGUCGAGAUGUUAAAUUGUGAAAGUAAUCAUUGAUGAAAUAUUGAUUUCUUAUGAAACUUCUCUUUAUCCGUUGUUAUUGAUUCUAUGAAUUGUGAGGAAGAGUGUAAAGCACGAAAGAUGAUGCCGUGCAUAAUUUAAUUAUAUUGUGAGUAAGAGUGUAAAGAACGAAGGGUGAUGUCGUGCAUAAUUUAAUUAUAUUGUGAGGAAGAGUGUAAAGCACGAAGGGUGAUGUCGUGCAUAAUUUAAUUAUAUUGUGAGAAAUUUUAAAGUGUUCUUGAGAAUUUUAUUUGAUUUGGCGCUAAAUUUAGAGUUCUAGGUGUUAUUUUGGCGAUUUGAUCACGCGAGUAGGUUUGUAUGAUGUUUUUAGACUUACGUGCAUGUUUGGUUUGGAGCCCCGAGGGCUCGGGUGCCAUUCGGGCGAUGCGCGAGUUGAGUUUAAACCUCAACAAGGCUGCUGUUGCACCAAAUUCGGUGUGCCCGCACCUGCGAGCCUUUGGUCGCAGGUGCGAGCGAUAGCCCCGCAGAUGCGACCCAGGCCUCGACUUUAUUUUUUCGCAGAUGCGAACUUUUCUCCGCAGGAGCGGGACCGCAGAAGCGGAACCCUGUCCGCAGGUGCGGCCCCAGUUGGCCCAAUCCUUUUCCGCCGAAGCGCACAUCCUGUGCGCAGGUGCGACCAAAGCACCGCAGGUGCGAAGGUCGCUGGGCAGUGAGCAUUUAAUUCGGAUCCAGCCAUUUUUCUUCUUGUUUUCAAAAGGAUAGGAGGCAUAUGGCAAUUUUUCAAAGACAUUUUCUUUCCCAAAUCAUAGGUAAGUGUUCCUUAACUCGUUUCUUUCAAUCUUUUACUUCAUUUUACUAGAAUUCAACCUAAAAUCUAGAGUUUUCAUAUUCGGGCCCAUUUGGGAAUUUAGACCUCCAUUUGAGGUCGGAUUCCAAAACUAAUUACAUAUUCGGGCUCGGGGGUGAAUGGGUAAGAGGAUUUUGGUCUGAACCUCGGGUUUUGACCAAGCGGGCCCGGGGUCGAUUUUUUCGACUUUUGGAGAAAAAUUUUGAAAAUUUAAUUUAUGAAAUAUAAUUGAUUCUUUUAGCAAUAUUUGAUAUUAAUGAGUCAUUUUUGAAUAGAUACGAGUGGUUUAGAGGUGAAUUCCAAAGGAAAGGCUGUGAUUGAGAAUUAAGUGGCCUUCGGAGCGAGGUAAGUGUUGUGUCUAACUUUGGCUUGAGGGAAUAGGUAUUGUGCGAGUAUUUGCUACGUGUUUUGUUGU